rnacentral:lncRNA from 1 species
UGCCCAUACUGCACCUCAUAUCAGCUGGACAUGGUGGGCACCGGUCCACCCUCUAAUUCCCUUGCCCUGUAGUGUGUAUUGGGCAGGGCAUGGGUUUUGGAGCCAGAAAGCUCUGGUAUUAAGCCCAGCUAAACCCACGACUUUACCCCAGACUCCUUUCUUGUCCCCCGGCCUCCCGACUGGAUGGGACUGAUCUCCUCCCUACCCUGCUUCAUAGCAUUCUCGUCACUUUCCGGAAUCUUUGUGCAGUUGUCUCUUCUCUGCCAGCAAGUCAGCUCUGGGAAGAGGGAGAAUCAGCCUGUGCUGUUUACUGCCCUCAUACUUGCUUACCCCCAGGCCACAAUUCUUCAUCGCUAGAGGAACGGAUGCUCUCUGCCAGGCUGUCUGGCUCUGAUGUCCAGCUCCCUACUUCUGGCUAUCUGCAGCUUGUGCCCUGGCCCACGCAGCGUGAGUCACAUUUCAAGAACGUCGGGAACUUACUCAUUGUAAGGAUUUGACAUUAUCUGGAGAACCUUUUCACUCUUCAAAUCGUCCCUUUCUGAUGUGGUCCUUGGCAGUGUUCUCCAUCCCUCCGGCUUGUUUGGGUUGGGUCUCUGGAUGGGGCCAGGCCAGGCCAGCAC